CAUCGUGGUCUAGCGGUUAGAACGCUGGCCUUGUAAUCCUGGGGUCUCGGGUUCGAUUCCCGGCGGUG
rfam:Zootermopsis nevadensis contig10434, whole genome shotgun sequence.